rnacentral:rRNA from 1 species
UGGUGGGUAGUUUGACUGGGGCGGUCUCCUCCUAAAGAGUAACGGAGGAGCACGAAGGUCAGCUAAUCCUGGUCGGACAUCAGGAGGUUAGUGCAAUGGCAUAAGCUGGCUUGACUGCGAGCGUGACGGCGCGAGCAGGUGCGAAAGCAGGUCAUAGUGAUCCGGUGGUUCUGAAUGGAAGGGCCAUCGCUCAACGGAUAAAAGGUACUCCGGGGAUAACAGGCUGAUACCGCCCAAGAGUUCAUAUCGACGGCGGUGUUUGGCACCUCGAUGUCGGCUCAUCACAUCCUGGGGCUGAAGUAGGUCCCAAGGGUAUGGCUGUUCGCCAUUUAAAGUGGUACGCGAGCUGGGUUUAGAACGUCGUGAGACAGUUCGGUCCCUAUCUGCCGUGGGCGCUGGAGAAUUGAGGGGGGCUGCUCCUAGUACGAGAGGACCGGAGUGGACGCAUCACUGGUGUUCGGGUUGUCAUGCCAAUGGCAUUGCCCGGUAGCUAAAUGCGGAAGAGAUAAGUGCUGAAAGCAUCU